rnacentral:rRNA from 1 species
AGUUUGAUCCUGGCUCAGGAUGAACGCUAGCGGCAGGCCUUAUACAUGCAAGUCGAGGGGCAGCAGGACACUUCGGUGUUGCUGGCGACCGGCGAACGGGUGAGUAAUACGCAUGUAAUCUACCUUGUACUGGAGAAUAGCUUCCAGAAGUGGAAAUUAAUACACCAUAAAAUCUUAGCAGCGCAUGCUGUUAAGCUAAAAGCUCCGGCGGUACAAGAUGAGCGUGCGUCCUAUUAGCUAGUUGGUGAGGUAAAAGCUCACCAAGGCUACGAUAGGUAGGGGUUCUUAGUGGAAGGUCCCCCACACUGGCACUGAGAUACGGGCCAGACUCCUACGGGAGGCAGCAGUAAGGAAUAUUGGUCAAUGGGCGCAAGCCUGAACCAGCCAUGCCGCGUGCAGGAUGAAGGCCCUCAGGGUUGUAAACUGCUUUUGUACAGGAACAAAAAGCUUCUGCGGAAGCUACUGAGUGUACUGUAAGAAUAAGCACUGGCUAACUCCGUGCCAGCAGCCGCGGUAAUACGGAGAGUGCAAGCGUUAUCCGAAUUUAUUGGGUUUAAAGGGUGUGUAGGCGGCUUUUCAAGUCAGUGGUGAAAGCCUAGCGCUUAACGCUAGAAGUGCUAUUGAUACUGUAAGGCUUGAGUCAAGAAAAGGUAGUAGAAUUUAUGAUGUAGUAGUGAAAUGCUUAGAUAUCAUAAGGAAUGCCAGUAGCGAAAGCAGCUUACUAGUCUUCGACUGACGCUGAGGCACGAAAGCGUGGGGAGCAAACAGGAUUAGAUACCCUGGUAGUC